GCCUACGAUCAUACUACGUUGAAAGCACUGCAUCCCGUCAGAUCUGCGCAGUUAAACAACGUUACGCCGCAGGGAGUACCUUGGUGGGUGAUAACAAGGGAACGUUCGGUGUCGCAGGCA
rnacentral:rRNA from 1 species